rnacentral:lncRNA from 1 species
UCAGGCCUUAAUUAGAUCAGCUGCAGGUAUUUGGAAUGCAAAUGGGGUAGUUUGUAAUAAAAGAGACAAAGAUUUUUAUGUAGCACACCCUCCUGCUAGACAUUUUGUUUUGGAGAAAUGCCAUGUAGCUGUCUACUCAAAGAAUAGAGGCAAAUACUAGGAAGAACAUGGGAGCCAGGUGUUGGUGUGGUCACAGCACAGAAAGAUACUGAAACCCUUUUUGGACUAGAACUACCUGCUGAUCAGAAAAAUCUCUGGACUUUAG